UUGUAAUUUGAAGAAGGUAACUUUGGAGUUGGCUCUUGUCUAUGUUCCUUGGAACAGGACGUCACAGAGGGUGAGAAUCCCGUGCGAUGAGAUGCCCAAUUCUAUGUAAAGUGCUUUCGAAGAGUCGAGUUGUUUGGGAAUGCAGCUCUAAGUGGGUGGUAAAUUCCAUCUAAAGCUAAAUAUUGGCGAGAGACCGAUAGCGAACAAGUACAGUGAUGGAAAGAUGAAAAGAACUUUGAAAAGAGAGUGAAAAAGUACGUGAAAUUGUUGAAAGGGAAGGGCUUGAGAUCAGACUUGGUAUUUUGCGAUCCUUUCCUUCUUGGUUGGGUUCUCCGCAGCUUACUGGGCCAGCAUCGGUUUGGAUGGUAGGAUAAUGAUUAAGGAAUGUGGCUCUACUUCGGUGGAGUGUUAUAGCCUUGGUUGAUACUGCCUGUCUAGACCGAGGACUGCGUCUUUGACUAGGAUGCUGGCAUAAUGAUCUUAAGCCACCCGUCUUGAAACACGGACCAAGGAGUCUAACGUCUAUGCGAGUGUUUGGGUGUAAAACCCGUACGCGUAAUGAAAGUGAACGUAGGUGAGAGCUCUUAAGAGUGCAUCAUCGACCGAUCCUGAUGUCUUCGGAUGGAUUUGAGUAAGAGCAUAGCUGUUGGGACCCGAAAGAUGGUGAACUAUGCCUGAAU
rnacentral:rRNA from 1 species